UACGUAGGGGGCUAGCGUUGUCCGGAUUUAUUGGGCGUAAAGCGCGUGUAGGCGGCCAGAUAGGUCUGCUGUGAAAACUCGAGGCUCAACCUCGAGCUGUCGGCGGAAACCAUCCGGCUAGAGUCCGGAAGAGGAGAGUGGAAUUCCCGGUGUAGCGGUGAAAUGCGCAGAUAUCGGGAAGAACACCCGUGGCGAAGGCGGCUCUCUGGGACGGUACUGACGCUGAGACGCGAAAGCGUGGGGAGCGAACAGG
rnacentral:rRNA from 1 species